rnacentral:tRNA from 1 species
GGCGCUGUGGCUCAAGUGGUAGAGCGCCAGCCUGGAGCUGAAGAGCUGAGGGACAGCGCCCAGGGCGUGAGUUCAAGUCCCACCACUGGCA